AUGGAGUAUGAUCAGAAAAAAUAUUUCAUACGGAUGUUUGUUGGGCUGAAGCCUUUGUGCGAUGGAUUCUUGGCUGGCUGCAGACCUUACUUGGCGAUAGAUAGCACUCAUUUGAUAGGCAAGUAUAGAGGCCAAUUAGCUACUGCUUGUGAUAUUGAUGGGCACAAUUGGUUGUACCCUGUAGUCUAUGGAGUUAUCGAUUCGGAAACUACCAAAAGUUGGGUGUGGUUUAUGGAGAAGCUUCAUGAAGCUAUUGGCUCUCCCCAUGGUCUAGCUAUAUGUUCAGAUGUAGGAAAAGGGAUUGACACUGUAAUCGAACAGGUAUUUGGGUAUGCUGAACCUAGAGAAUGCAUGCGACACUUGGUUGUGAACUUCAAGAAAAAAUUCCAUGGUAAAGUUUUUGAUGAUCAUUUGUGGCCAGCUGCUUAUUCAUGGACUCCUCGAGGGUUUGACUAUCACAUGGCAGCCAUAGAGGAGAAAAAGGCAGCUGCAAUAGCAUACUUAAACAAGUACCACAACAGGCUAUGGUCAAGGAGCAAAUAUUCAACCUCCUCAAAAGUGGACAAAUAA
rnacentral:rRNA from 1 species